UACGAAGGGGGCUAGCGUUGCUCGGAAUUACUGGGCGUAAAGGGCGCGUAGGCGGAUAGUUUAGUCAGAGGUGAAAGCCCAGGGCUCAACCUUGGAAUUGCCUUUGAUACUGGCUGUCUUGAGUACGGGAGAGGUGAGUGGAACUCCGAGUGUAGAGGUGAAAUUCGUAGUUAUUCGGAAGAACACCAGUGGCGAAGGCGACUCACUGGCCCGUUACUGACGCUGAGGCGCGAAAGCGUGGGGAGCAAACAGG
rnacentral:rRNA from 1 species